CCGAGGUAAAGGAUACACUCGUCGGCGGAAUUGAUCGAUUCGUAGUGGUCGUCGUUCACGUUUCGUCGGAAUAGAAAAUUUGACCGUCGUGCGAUUCGAUCGAUAUCGGCCGAGCGAAGGGGACACCGUGUUCCGCCUUGAAACGUGACAACGCACGUGCCGAUUUCCAGUUGGGAUCGAUCCCUAUAUAGGACGUAUCGCGACGGUGCCGGAGUGACUAAUUAUGGAGUUCGAAGGAGUUCUCCGUCCAAUGGCGGACGAAGCGCCGCUCGGGGAAGGAAGAAGACAGAGAUAAGCAACGAGGAGGAGGAAGUGGAAGACGAAGCCGAGGUCGAGCCCCCGGGAGUCAACGAUCCCUGACGUCACGCGUGUGCACGACCUUGGCGAACGAAGCCAAGCUCGGAGCCAAAUCUAUUUGUCUAGUUCGCCUUCUGGUGAACCGCCCUUAUCGCGAUCUACAUGCACGUGUUGAACGCGUAUUAGUGGAGAUCACCUUGGAGGGACCCUGGAUCGAAAACGAACGAUAGAAUCAGCCGAUCUCUAGAUACUGUUAAUCGAUCCCAACCUUCUGUCAAGAAACGCAACGACUGGUAAAACGGAGUACACUUUGUGGAACGGUCCAAUAGGUGGGGACUAUCGAUAUGAUUCGUUCGUUUCCUUGAAACGAGGCAAUGAGGAACCAGGAGGUGUACGGUCGAUGGCCCCGGAGUCGUUCAACUCGCGAUGAUCGGCCAUAAUUGUCCUUGAAUCGUGCGUUUCACGAUCGAGAUAGGUCAGAGAUCGGUAUGUCGUCUGUCUAUCGACACCAAACGGUGUUGUUUCGUCUGUUUAACGUCGGAGACUUCUAUUUGAAGUGUAGUCGAAGUUGGCACAUUAAUUAAGCGUUCAUCGUCGAGCAAAGACACUUUAAAUUUGUUAGUUAUCAUUCGACAGAUACGAACUAUUAUUGGCAAGCGUAAUAUUUAUCCAUAACGAAGUGGUAAUAUCGGGCCUGAAAAAUUUUCCUAAAAAAUAUUCUGGAUUUAUUAAUUCUAAUUAACCGAAGAAUACAGGAUUCGUAAGGAAGUCAAGUUCAAAUUCCACUUGAAACGAGAUUUCCAUGAAAAAUCGACGCCGAUCUGGCACAGCAUUGACGCGGGGUCACUCGAGCUUUUCCUCUAACCAGCAAAUUUCCCAUUAUUCCCGUUAAUUAAUCGCUCGCGGCUGUCGGAGAAGGAAAAACUGGCAUCAAGGGGACGGUUAAUCGAUUUCGACCCGCGUCGCAAUUAAUUAAGAGUUUCAUUGCGGUCUAGCGCACCGUGAAGCUAAUUCGUUUCGAAACUGUUAAGGUUCACUUUGGGCAAAAAAUAAUCGUGCUGGAACAGAAUUUUAAAUGGAUUGUCCUUAGUAUGGGAAAAAUAAAAAGGAAGAUACGUUUUAUCGAGUGGAGCCUUGAAAUUUUAUUUGAAACUAGGAUUAGGUACCUAAUUAUCAAAAUAAAACGAUCAACUAUUAGUCUUUGAAAUAAAAAAGAAAUAUACAUACAUAUAUAUAUAUAUAUAUAUA